rnacentral:rRNA from 1 species
UACGUAGGGGCAAGCGUUGUCCGGAUUUAUUGGGCGUAAAGAGCGUGUAGGCGGCCAGGUAGGUCGGUUGUGAAAACUGGAGGCUCAACCUUCAGACGUCGACCGAAACCAUCUGGCUAGAGUCCGGAAGAGGAGAGUGGAAUUCCUGGUGUAGCGGUGGAAUGCGCAGAUAUCAGGAAGAACACCGGUGGUGUAGACGGCUCUCUGGACCGUAACUGACGCUGAGGCACGAAAGCGUGGGUAGCAAACAGG